rnacentral:lncRNA from 1 species
CAGUCUGCAGCUGCACUACUGGGGGAAACCGAAAGAAAGUAUCACAAAAGCAGCAGGCAUCACAGAUUGCCUUUCACUCUUUCCUGGACAAAAGAUAGAUUUAGGUAAUAAUUCACCUAAUAAUAGAUUAGGUAAUAAAGAAUUAGGCUGUAUGAACCUUCUUGAGGAACUGUGCUUGUAACACGGGCAAUGGUAAAAUAUCAGCAAAAGCUGCAGCACACUCAGGCAGCAGACACUGUCUGAGACAGAGCAGAACAAACCAUUUGGAUCCCCAAAAUGACUGCUCACAUGAGACCACAACCUCCUGAUCACUCCCUAGGUUUGUACCCAUUUGGGGGGAUAUUUUGGAGUAUAUCUUGGCACAGGCAAGCAUGUGCAUCCAAACCAAGGAGUUUGCCAAAGAGAAAUAGAGGAAACUUGCUACCCACCAGCUGUGAUCCUGGCCAGGAGCUUGGGCAAUAGCACAUAAACACCUGUUUUCAUUUGCUGAGUGGUGCUGUGACACAGGGGUGAGCGGUGACAUGAAGCUUUUCAUCUGGCCGUGAUCUGCUUUCAAAGCUCUGUAAACAGCUCUUAGCUGAAAAUAUCAUGUAACUUUUUUUUUUUUUUCCCCUUUGUUGCACGCAGUUCAUCCUCAGAGGAAGAAGAGCCCCUGUGCUCAUCUGGGCUUGGGAACAGCAGCUCCCUUGAACACAGCAGGCAUUCAACCUGAGGCUGAGCAGGUUCAGGCACCGAGCCACGAAGCUAAUUGUGUGUGUUGCAGUCCAGCAGGCCGCCGUCGUGUCCUGGGAGCAGCACCUCCUGUCUGUGUCCAUUCCUCAUGGCCAAAGUGCCCCAGGAUCAGCAUGGAGUCCUUUCCUGAGGAGAGGAAAUGGCCUUGGAGUCCAGCAGGGAGGAGCUGGAGCCAGUGUCCCUGCAAAGGGCCAAGAGCCGUGUGGCUGUGGCCCUCGGGGACCCGGUGCAGGGGUGCCGCUGGCGGUGCCAGGCUGCCGCUGGGAGCCGAUGACUUUCCAGGUGCCUUCCCGGCCGGACGAUGGGCCGGGAUGCGGCGCUGAGCCCCGGCAGCGAGGGUC